rnacentral:rRNA from 1 species
UGGGGAAUCUUGCACAAUGGAGGAAACCCUGAUGCAGCGACGCCGCGUGAACGAUGAAGCCCUUCGGGGUGUAAAGUUCUUUCGACAGGAACGAUAAUGACGGUACCUGGAGAAGAAGCUGCGGCUAACUACGUGCCAGCAGCCGCGGUAAUACGUAGGCAGCGAGCGUUGUUCGGAGUUACUGGGCGUAAAGAGUGCGUAGGCGGCGAGCCAAGUUUGGUGUGAAAUCUCCCGGCUUAACCGGGAGGGUGCGCCGAAAACUGGUUGGCUGGAGUAUGGGAGAGGAAAGCGGAAUUCCUGGUGUAGCGGUGAAAUGCGUAGAUAUCAGGAGGAACACCUGCGGUGUAGACAGCUUUCUGGACCAAAACUGACGCUGAGGCACGAAAGCGUGGGUAGCAAACA